CCAGCAGCAGUUCUCCUGGUUGCUGUGUUGUUACUUCACUCUCCUCAGUGAGUUCCUUCUGCUCCCAUAGUUCUCCUCCUGUGGCACUCACUGCUCUCCUGUUCCCCCUUGGCUAAGGACUGCAGGCUCACAGUCUCCGCCACGCAUCCGCUGUGCAGUUUUUCCAGAGCAGGUCUAUGGCCAAGCUGCUCCUUUUGGGCUGAUUGUGUGCUUUUCUAUGCAGACAGGCAGGCAGGAUUUCUUGCAGCUGUCGUACGUGCUGGGUCUCAUGCUCCGUCCUGCACCUGUGCCUUAUCUCGUGUGCACUCUCCACCUCCCCCUGGUCAGUACAUCCUGGCCCUGCUGUGCUCUGCUCAGCAUCUGUCUGCUGAGCAACGACACAGCUGUCACACUGACCCUACCUUGUGCUAUCCCUGCAGAUGUUUGAUGAUUUCCUCUGCCACUGUCCCAGCCAUAACAGGUCGGGUGAUUUCCAGCAGCACACAGCUGGCACACCGAGCCACUCUGACCACGUACGGCAGCAGCCCGCCCCAUGGCUUCCUUGGGGCAGCCGUGGGGCUGUACCACCCUGAGGAGGCGAUGACUUUUCCCCACACACAGCUGGUUCUCUGGCCACACGGGGUGAGGAUGUGGGGUUGGGGGUCACAUGGCUGUCCUGCAGAGUCAGAGUGUUAUGGGGUUUUGUGGGGUUCUGGGUUAGAUGGGGUUCUGGGUUGCUGUGAUGAGGUCAGAUGAGAUGGUAGGGUCAGAUGGGGUGACAUGGAGUUCUGUGGUCACAUGUGUUUCUAUGGUCGAGUUGAGGUGGGGGCAGGGAUCCCAGAGUUCUGGGGCCACAUGGCAUCGGGUCGCAGCGUGAUGGGGGCAGGAAGGGUCAGGGAGUCACAGGGUCUUGUGGGGGUGUGGUUCACCCAGGGCUGUGGGUCACGUACAGCCAUGGGGUGAUGCACAUACAGGGUGA
rnacentral:lncRNA from 1 species